rnacentral:lncRNA from 1 species
UGAGGCUGUCUUUCAGCAGACAUCGUUCCAUUUCACCGAGCCUUACAGGCUUACAAUACAAACUUGAACAGUCAGGAUGUUUCACUGCAAAUCUUUACAGAAGUGCUCUUCGACUGAUAGUCAUUGUGGAGGAAAAGAAACAAAUGCUGAACUAGGAGGCAACUUGGGGUUUUAAUAUGUUCCUUAAGUUUGCAUCCUCCCACCUUCCCUGGAUGAAAACCACUGGUGAUGUGAUUUAAUUCUUUUGGCUGGGGUCCAUCUUCUCCAGACUGGCUUGGAUUGCAAGAAGCUGCAUCUUCCUACAGAACUAUUGUGAUAAAAAUGUGAAACAACACGGGGUCCCAGUUCAGACCUGAAUGAGGUACCAAAGGUGAUUUUUGCACCACUGAUGCUCACUCUCCAGCACCAUACUGCAACCAGAUGCCCCAUUCACUUGACGAGGUGUGCUGCCAACAGGACUGGCAUUUUUGCUAUUGACCAACAUUAGCUGGCAUGGUUACAAGAGUCUGGACAGCCAGUUAAUCCUUAAAGAUAUGUCUUCUUUGAUUGUGUGCUAUAACAUUAUUCUUGCAAGUACUAUUUUCUAAAGGACUUCUGAAGCAAUAGAAAAAGCCGUAAAUUGCUUUCCAUUGCUAGGAAAAGUCAUGUGUCUGUUUAAGUAUACAAGCAUCUUCAGAGGGUUAUUUGUGAUUGCAACAUUUUCAGACUCAAUAGAGUCACAUAAUAAAGCAAACCCUUUCUAAGCAUUUGAGUGUCCUUUCUCUGCUGUUUGAAGCACACAGAUGAAGAUAAAGAUACACUGGGGAGGAAAACAUAUUUCUCCCAGAGAAGAAGAACAGGGUAUGUGAAGUGUUAAAAAACUCA